rnacentral:tRNA from 1 species
GCGCCCGUAGCUCAUCUGGAUAGAGCAAUAGCCUUCUAAGCUAUGGGUAACAGGUUCGAGUCCUGUCGGGCGUACUA